AGAGUUUGAUCAUGGCUCAGAUUGAACGCUGGCGGCAGGCCUAACACAUGCAAGUCGAGCGGAUGAAGGGAGCUUGCUCCUGGAUUCAGCGGCGGACGGGUGAGUAAUGCCUAGGAAUCUGCCUGGUAGUGGGGGAUAACGUCCGGAAACGGGCGCUAAUACCGCAUACGUCCUAAGGGAGAAAGUGGAGGAUCUUCGGACCUCACGCUAUCAGAUGAGCCUAGGUCGGGUUAGCUAGUUGGUGGGGUAAAGGCCUACCAAGGCGACGAUCCGUAACUGGUCUGAGAGGAUGAUCAGUCACACUGGAACUGAGACACGGUCCAGACUCCUACGGGAGGCAGCAGUGGGGAAUAUUGGACAAUGGGCGAAAGCCUGAUCCAGCCAUGCCGCGUGUGUGAAGAAGGUCUUCGGAUUGUAAAGCACUUUAAGUUGGGAGGAAGGGCAGUAAGUUAAUACCUUGCUGUUUUGACGUUACCAACAGAAUAAGCACCGGCUAACUUCGUGCCAGCAGCCGCGGUAAUACGAAGGGUGCAAGCGUUAAUCGGAAUUACUGGGCGUAAAGCGCGCGUAGGUGGUUCAGCAAGUUGGAUGUGAAAUCCCCGGGCUCAACCUGGGAACUGCAUCCAAAACUACUGAGCUAGAGUACGGUAGAGGGUGGUGGAAUUUCCUGUGUAGCGGUGAAAUGCGUAGAUAUAGGAAGGAACACCAGUGGCGAAGGCGACCACCUGGACUGAUACUGACACUGAGGUGCGAAAGCGUGGGGAGCAAGCAGGAUUAGAUACCCUGGUAGUCCACGCCGUAAACGAUGUCGACUAGCCGUUGGGAUCCUUGAGAUCUUAGUGGCGCAGUUAACGCGAUAAGUCGACCGCCUGGGGAGUACGGCCGCAAGGUUAAAACUCAAAUGAAUUGACGGGGGCCCGCACAAGCGGUGGAGCAUGUGGUUUAAUUCGAAGCAACGCGAAGAACCUUACCUGGCAUUGACAUGCUGAGAACUUUCCAGAGAUGGAUUGGUGCCUUCGGGAACUCAGACACAGGUGCUGCAUGGCUGUCGUCAGCUCGUGUCGUGAGAUGUUGGGUUAAGUCCCGUAACGAGCGCAACCCUUGUCCUUAGUUACCAGCACCUCGGGUGGGCACUCUAAGGAGACUGCCGGUGACAAACCGGAGGAAGGUGGGGAUGACGUCAAGUCAUCAUGGCCCUUACGGCCAGGGCUACACACGUGCUACAAUGGUCGGUACAAAGGGUUGCCAAGCCGCGAGGUGGAGCUAAUCCCAUAAAACCGAUCGUAGUCCGGAUCGCAGUCUGCAACUCGACUGCGUGAAGUCGGAAUCGCUAGUAAUCGUGAAUCAGAAUGUCACGGUGAAUACGUUCCCGGGCCUUGUACACACCGCCCGUCACACCAUGGGAGUGGGUUGCUCCAGAAGUAGCUAGUCUAACCGCAAGGGGGACGGUUACCACGGAGUGAUUCAUGACUGGGGUGAAGUCGUAACAAGGUA
rnacentral:rRNA from 1 species